rnacentral:rRNA from 1 species
GACAGAGGAUGCAAGCGUUAUCCGGAAUGAUUGGGCGUAAAGCGUCUGUAGGUGGCUUUUCAAGUCCGCCGUCAAAUCCCAGGGCUCAACCCUGGACAGGCGGUGGAAACUACCAAGCUGGAGUACGGUAGGGGUAGAGGGAAUUUACGGUGGAGCAGUGAAAUGCAUUGAGAUCGGAAAGAACACCAACGGCGAAAGCACUCUGCUGGGCCGACACUGACACUGAGAGACGAAAGCUAGGGGAGCGAAUGGG